rnacentral:tRNA from 1 species
GCACUGGUAGUUCAGUGACAGAAUUCUCACCUUCCACCUCAGAGACUCAGGUUCGAUUCCUGGCCAAUGCA